rnacentral:tRNA from 1 species
GGUCUGGUGGUGUAGUUGGUUAUCACGUCAGUCUAACAGUUGCAGGCACCGCUUGUUUCUGCGAUCACUGAAGGUCUCCGGUUCAAGUCCGGGCUAGAUCA